AGCAGCCGCGGUAAUUCCAGCUCCAAUAGCGUAUAUUAAAGUUGUUGCAGUUAAAAAGCUCGUAGUUGAAUUUUAGGCCUGGCCGGGCGGUCCGUCUUUGGCGAGUACUGUCCUGUGUCGGGUCUUCCUUCUGGUGAACCAGUAUGUCCUUUAUUGGGUGUGCCGGGGAGCCAGGACCAUUACCUUGAAAAAAUUAGAGUGUUUAAAGCGGGCUUUUGCUUGAAUAGAUUAGCAUGGAAUAAUAGAAUAGGACGUUGUGGUUCUAUUUUGUUGGUUUCUAGGACCACCGUAAUGAUUAAUAGGGAUAGUUGGGGGCAUUAGUAUUCAAUUGUCAGAGGUGAAAUUCUUGGAUUUAUUGAAGACUAACUAUUGCGAAAGCAUUUGCCAAGGAUGUUUUCAUUAAUCAAGAACGAAAGUUAGGGGAUCGAAGACGAUCAGAUACCGUCGUAGUCUUAACCAUAAACUAUGCCGACUAGGAAAUCGGGCGACGUUAUUUCAUGACUCGCUCGGCGCCUUAUCG
rnacentral:rRNA from 1 species